rnacentral:rRNA from 1 species
GACAGAGGUGCCGAGCGUUAGGCGGAAUCACUGGGCUUAAAGCGUGUGUAGGCGGAUGCCUAAGUACCUUGUGAAAUCCCACGGCUCAACCGUGGAACUGCUUGGUAUACUGGGUGUCUUGAGCCACUUAGGGGCAAGCGGAACAAAUGGUGGAGCGGUGAAAUGCGUAGAUAUCAUUUGGAACGCCAAUGGUGAAAACAGCUUGCUGGGAGUGUGCUGACGCUGAGACACGAAAGCCAGGGGAGCAAACAGG